AUUCGUAUCUACAUUAUUUUUAUUCGUAUCUACAUUAUUCCCGGUUUUGUUGCUGUUUGUUUAUUCGUAUCUUCAUUAUUCCCGGUAUUAUUGUUGUUUGUUUAUUCGUAUCUACAUUAUUCCCGGUAGUUUUGUUGUUUGUUUAUUCGUAUCUACAUUAUUCCCGGUAGUGUUGUUUGUUUAUUCGUAUCUACAUUGUUCCCGGUAUUGUUGCUGUUUGUUUAUUCGUAUCUACAUUGUUCCCGGUAUUGUUGU
rnacentral:lncRNA from 1 species